UGCUGGUACGGAAGGCGCUAGGGUCGAUUCACUUGGUGUCUGUGCAAGCGGUGGUACCCCAUUAACUCUCACAGUGUUGACGUCGAGUGCCGCAGAUCGGCCUUACGGUGCGAGGCUUUCGUUUCCGUGGAGAGUAUGAGUAGUUAUACCAGAGUUUAGAGUAAAAUUUCGGCUACUUGCAUGUUGAUAACGAAAUGGAGACUAGGACGACAGCUACGAAGGCGGUUGUCCGUAUUCGGGGAGCAGUGCGUUCUGGGUCUGUAUUUCUAUGCUGCUUGCUGUCUGACUGCGGUGUUCUCGGUAAGUACGGAUCAUUCUUUGCUGAUACGCCUCACAGCGCAGCUGUUAAAGAGUAUUCCCUGUUUAUCUGCGGUCAACGAAGAAGCCAAUGCGUGAUGUCAGUGCUUGCUGUGUUUAGCGAACUUUGGUUUACUUUCAUUCCUUAGAGAAUUUUCACUUAAACUUCGGAAAAAGGUGGAAAAAUUUGUUGCUUCAGCAUACUCCUUGUAGUGAAACUUGUUUUAAUAACUGUUAAUUCGGGAUUUUUGACGGUUUGUGCAAUAAUUGCUUAGGGACAUAUAGCUUCGUAGUUGCGCUAUGUUGUCAAAUGUCGCAGAACUUUCAUUGCAUAGAAUACUUACUGCAAAGAUCAACCACAGUUAGCAACGGUGUUUGAAGACGAGCACAAAGGGUGUCCCGUAAUUACAAGUAAAUACUGGUGCAUAACGCGUUGAGACGGUCACAGCUUCUACAAAUAGCGUGGCUGAUAGAACGUUUCAGUUUAUGGCGGAGUAGUGGGUACACAAGGGUAGCGUGAAGAUCCACCACCCCCGUACGCUGUGAAGUAGAUUUCAUUACCAUUAAUAAACGUAACUAUAUUUUUACCGCGCUGUGUAACUUGUCAAGCAUAGAUCGUGUUUGCGA